rnacentral:rRNA from 1 species
AGGAAGUGGGGAUGACGUCAAGUCCUCAUGGCCCUUAUGUCCAGGGCUACACACGUGCUACAAUGGCCGGUACAAAGGGCUGCAAUACCGCAAGGUGGAGCGAACCCCAAAAAGCCGGUCUCAGUUCGGAUUGGAGUCUGCAACUCGACUCCAUGAAGUUGGAAUCGCUAGUAAUCGCGGAUCAGCAUGCCGCGGUGAAUACGUUCCCGGGCCUU